GUGUGUGUAUAUAAUGCAGUGUGUUUGUGUAGUGUGCAUUAUAUAAACACACUACACAAACACACUGCAUUAUAUACAGUGUGU